rnacentral:rRNA from 1 species
AUUGAACGCUGGCGGCAUGCCUUACACAUGCAAGUCGAACGGCAGCACGGACUUCGGUCUGGUGGCGAGUGGCGAACGGGUGAGUAAUGCAUCGGAACGUGCCAUUGAGUGGGGGAUAACGUAGCGAAAGUUGCGCUAAUACCGCAUAUUCUGUGAGCAGGAAAGCAGGGGACCGCAAGGCCUUGCGCUCUUUGAGCGGCCGAUGUCAGAUUAGCUAGUUGGUAGGGUAAAAGCCUACCAAGGCGACGAUGGUUAGCUGGUCUGAGAGGAUGAUCAGCCACACUGGAACUGAGACACGGUCCAGACUCCUACGGGUGGCUG